rnacentral:rRNA from 1 species
GGGUAUGGCCAUUCCCUGAACGUGCUUAAUCUUGUCUGUUCUCGGAACCUAAGCAGGGUCGGGCCUGGUUAGUACUUGAAUGGGAGACCACCUUGGAAUAGCAGGUGCUGCAGGCA